rnacentral:lncRNA from 1 species
AGGUCGCAGACGCAGCUCAGAUCCAGUGUGGCUGUGGCUGUGACAUGGGCCGCUGCUGCAGCUCGGAUUUGACCCCUCGCUCAGGAAUUUUCAUAUGCUCGAGGUGCGGCCAUGAAAAGAAAGAAGAAGAAGAAAUGAGAUCUCUCCAGCAAGUGAGCAAGGGAAGCCGUUGUUUGUUUGCAGCAGGGGCCCCAGGAAAGCCUUGCCGGAAAUAAAAGGAAAAGAAUAAAUGAGAUGCUACAGAUAAAGCACAGUGGGCAGGAAAUGCCUAAUAUACCGUAGUUGUUCUUACCUCCAGCUGAGUCACUGGGUGAUCCAGAGUUGGCUGAAGGACUUGACCGCCACAGACCUGUUUUCUCAUCUGUAAAAUGGGCCCAGCAAGAAAUGCAACCCCCUGAAGGGUCGUCGUGAAGAUGAGGGGUAAUCUAUGCAGAGUCCCAGGGAGUCGUCAAUAAACGCAGUCUAGGAUUACAGCUUUCCGUUACAUCUUUAGGCAGACGUUGAUUCUCUCCCUUGAAGAGUGUAAGAUGCUGGCAGAAGGCUUUGCACCUUGCAGGUCCGUUAUAUAGGCGAGAAGUCAGCUAAUUUCUUGUUGCCAGGUUGGAAGGACUCACAAACAAUAGCCCGGAUAGGGUGACUUCUUAGCAUUCCAGGCCAGAUCCAAGAAUCUCAAGCCAAAAUUUUGUCCAGCCUUAACACAGGUCUCCUUGAAUGAGAACUUGGUGAUGUGAAGUGUUUAAGAGACAAAGCAGCUCCGGGACCCACAUUCCAUAGGCAGCCCAGUCUCAAAAGGCAAUAAGUGACUUAGACCCCCCCCCCCCCCCCCCCCGCCCAAGCCCUCUCCGCUUGCUAGAUGCAGCAGGGAUUUGAACCUAGGUCUGUUAGACUCUAGUGCCUGGCUUCUCGACCAGCUAUUGGCUUAUGAGAGAAGUUAGAGCAGAAACCCAGCAAAAAACACCAGGGUCUGCCAGGGGCUGUUCACAGACACUGGGACCUGCCCGAUCUCUUCUGCCAAGAGCCUCCUGCUACCAUCUCCACGAUGGCCUCAGAGGUAAAGCAUCAUUCUCUAAUUUGCACACAAAAUGGAUUUUAGUACCUGGAUUUUAUUGAGAAACCGACUCCCUCGUCCCCCAUCCCCAGCACUGGAAAACAUAUUGUCUUCUUUACUGUAGUUCAUUUUGCCUUCCGAGGUGAUUAAUGAAUUAAAGAUGCAGUGUAUUUAUUCUUUUGCCUGAUUACCAUUCUGUAAUAAAUCUAAGCUCUGGAGUCUGUCGAUACGGGAAGACCAAGCUGCCUCUUUGGAAAAUAAAGGUUUGUACGUGAAGCUUAACUUCCAGCUCUCAGAUGCAGGAGAAAAUUCACCUUUGGAGCCUUGGAAAAAAUUAAGGGGGACCCUCAAAUGAGAUACUGGCUGGCAGCUAGAAGAUUCCAGUUCUGCGAAUGAGAUGGCAGGCCUUUUGCUCCCCUCCCCCACUACUCCAGGGUGUGGGAAGACCCACUGACCUGUAGAUGGGGUUUUUACAGCAGGCAUCCUGACUGCGAGGCCCUUCCUGGAGGUGACGGUGGGGAGAGAGGUGGCCCGCCCGACGUUCUCGCCCCAGAUCUGCAUGAUUUUAUUGUCCACGUAAAACAGUGGCCACUGGGAUGGUGUCUAAUCUCUGGCUGGGUGGCCGUGAUGGUCAGUCAAUGGAAUGCGUGGGCGUGAGGUUACUGGUUUCCAGGGGAACCCGGGGGGAGGGGGGGCAGGAGAGCAGGGUGCCUAAGAGCACUGCCGGCGACGUCCCCGAAUGUCCAGCUCUGCCUUGUCACUUCCUGGCUGUGUGACUCUGGGCCAAUCUGGUUUCCUCAUCCAUCCAGUGGGGCCCCCUUCCUCUCUUCCUCCACCCGCCAGGGCUGGUGGGGCCUGGGCUUGCUCGCAGCACCUGCAGAGGAUGAGGCUACGCUUUGCCUUUGGAAGAUCCGACCUCCAGUGGCCCUCGGCCAGUCUGACCUGUGCCGGGGCAGGAAGCCCACAAAGAGAAACAAAAUGAGACCAGAUUGAUAAUAUCAUUGGCCAUUUGCUUUUAUUUGUAUUUUAUUUUAUUUUGUUUGACUGUUGUAUUUUAUUUUUUGCUUCUCUAGUCGCAUCUGUGGCAUAUGGAAGUUCCCAGGCUAGGGGUCGAAUCGGAGCUACAGCUGCCGGCCUACACCGCAGCCCCAGCAACUCGGGAUCUGAGCUUCGUCUGCCACCUACACCACAGCUCACAGCAGCGCUGGAGCCUUAACCCACUGAGCAAGGCCAGGGAUCAAACCCAGAUCCUCAUGGAUUCUAGUCGGAUUCGUUUCUGCUGCCCCCUGAUGAAAACUCCGUAUUUGUUUAUUUUAAAACGAGCAAACGAGAGUGAAAACAAACAAAAAGCCAGUGGCUUAUAUGGGUUCAUUUCUCAGCUGCUGCUGACCGGACAGAAUAUAUAAUAUAUAUGUUUUUCAUGUAUAUGUGUAUAUAAUUUGUUAUAUACGUAUUUUAUAUGUAUAAUUCAUAACAAAGUCGUAAUCAAAAAUCAGAUCAAAUGAGUCCCCUUUCUAGCUAACCCUGGCAUUUUUGAUGGUAGGCAGCCUUCCUUUAUAGGCGGUUUUCCAUCCCGUGACAGGCCAAGGCUUACCUUCAAGGACCCUAUAACAUCCCCUAGAAAGGGACUCGAAAUUAUCUCCACAUCCUUUUUGUCUGGAAAGAGCAUCCCUACACUCAGGAAGGCCUCGGAGGGUCCAAGAGCCAAAGAGACUUUGGAAACCCAAGUCCGGGUCCCAAAGGCCUUCCCCUCACUGUGAGCUUCCCGGGCCGGGGCUCCCGUGCACGCUGUGCCCUGCUCAGAGGGGCGGGUGGCUGGGCAGCUGUGCGAGCAGAGGGCCCGGGGCCUCACCCACACGCCACACGUGUCUGGUUGGCGAGAGGUCUCCAGGGGCUCUUGUGCACGAAGCCCUGAGCCGCCUCCUUAACUGAGCUGCUGCUUCCUGGGCGCCCACCUGCCCGUCUGCACACCUUUCCUGACCAGCCCAGGCCCCUUGCUCCCCCUGCCCCCCGCCCCAGUGCCCCCAGCUCCAUGAGAAAGCUGACACGUUGAAAUCUCACUCCAGCCCAGACGUUCCCAGACACUCAGCUGUAUCAUUUUCAAGUGCGGCCGCAGGAUGGGUUCAAAGCUCUUUCUGCUCCCCCUUUUUUUCCCCAGGACACCUCUCUUGGACCUCAUCCUGCUGGGGACCAAUGCCUCCCUUGCUUCCCCCAAGUUCCUCCCUCCUUCACUGCUGUCACUAGAACCCGAGCAUUCUGAGUAACAGAUACAAGAACGCUGUGCCAGCAUGACCAGCAUGCUUCCUAAGACCAAGAGACACUGCUUCCCCUCUUUCUCCCAGGAACAAUACAACUGCAAAGGUGGAGAGGAGAGAGGCUGCCCGGCAAGGCUGCGCAUUUAAUUAUGCAGUGAAAGCCUCUUAGUGGGAAGUCCCAGGAGGCCUGAGGAAGUGGCAGUGGCAGGAGGGGGAGGGGAGCUGCGCAGAGCA